CUUAAGAAAUAACAAUGGCUUCGAACAAAAGGCAUUUCGCGGAGAAAGACGACGAUCCUCACUCGUUAUCCAAGAAGGCGAAGGAAUCUGAAUCUGAAUCUGAAUCUGAAUCCGUUGCAUCUCCUUCUUCUCUGCAAGUUCUUCUCAAUCCUGCGGACUGUGACUUGGUGUUAUGAAUCAACCAUCAGACAAAUCAAACCAUGAGGAGGCGAGCGUUAACAGAAUAGGAGCAGGAUUGCUGAGUUGGCUUGCAGGAUUGGGCCCUUGGAUGAUCCUGUUGGGAAUAUGCUUUUUCUGUUAGGAUAAUUGUUGCAAUUCUGUUAUUGCUAGCUUUCUCUAGAACCUGCAAAAAAAGGAACGAAUAAUUAGCAAAUGAAGCUUAUAAAUUGUCAACCCAUGUAAUGAAUUUGCAAGCAGAAAUCAAAGUUUCUUUUCCUUAUCUUAUCCCUUUCUUUGGAGGAAUUCUGGGCCUCGAACUCCAGAAACACCUGCACUCAUUUUCUCUUUACUAUCCAUCUUGUUACUUGUUUUCAUUGAAAACCAAACAUCUUAUGACUUAUCCCAAGCACUUUAAUAAAUUUGACGCUGAAGAGUUAAAAUUGUUAUAAUAUUGAAAGAAUCGCAAGUUAUUGCUCUCUUAGGGGAAAAUGGGUUGGGGAUUUGUCAAUUUAACGUCAUAAUAUUUUCUUGAGCUGUUAAUACUUAGUUAUAUGCUAAAUAGUCAAAUAUUUUAUUGCUUUCUUUGUUUAACUCAUUUAUCUGUUACCUUAGGAAAAUUAACAAUUUGAUGAUUUAUUGCUAGAUUUCAAUAUUGAUGGCAAUGGACUUGUUCGAUAUGGCCUUCAUGAGGAAGGGUUUGCUUAUUACUGGUCUGGUGCCCGAGCUAAGGUGGGAAUAACCAGAGGUAGAUAUUGUUUUGCCUGCAAAGUGGUUUCUGCACAGACGGUUAACAUGGAGGACACUGCCCCUGAGCAGCAGCAUAUUUGUUGCCUCGGGAUUUCCAGAGGGGACAAUGCGGUUGGAAACCUAGGGGAGUCCAGGCAGAGCUUUGGAUAAGGUGGCACGGGCAAGUUUUCAAAAUGUGGAAGAUUCUUAGAUUUUGGUGACAAGUUUGGUGUUGGUGAUACAAUAGUUUGUUGUGUUGACCUCGAAAGCAAACCGCUGGCUUCUAUUGGUUUCUCCAAGACUGGGAAAUUGUUGGGUGCUGCGACUCAAUUUGAUGUAGCUCGCCUUGGAGUGGCGGAUUCUUCUCCAGGGAACUUACAAUGGACAUCAGCCCUUUUUCCACAUGUGCUGUUGAAAAAUGUUGUGGUCCAGAUGCAGUUCAGUGUCGAAGAUGGACUUGUUCCUUAAGAAGGGUUCAAACCUUGGGCCUCCACUGUGGAGGGCAGAAACAUAGUGAUCGGACCUUCUUUUUCUGAACCUAGGGAUUGCGAAGUGAUAAUGAUGGUGGGAUUACCAGCUUCAGGCAAGACUACAUGGGCAGAAAAAUGGGUGAAAGAUCAUCCAGAGAAGCGUUAUGUGUUGCUUGGGACAAACUCAAUUCUUGAUCAGAUGAAGGUUUGUGCUUUGCUUGGCCCAAUGUUGUGAUCAUUGUUUUCUGUUUGUAGUUUUUGCUGAAAGUCAAUGUUACGCUGGUACCUGGACUAUUGUGGAGAAACAACUAUGGUGAAAGAUUUGAUCUUUUGAUGGAUAGGGCUACUCGAAUUUUCAAUGUACUGCUAUCCAGGGCAGCUAAUAUACCUCGCAAUUAUAUAAUUGACCAGACAAAUGUCUAUAAAAGUGCGCGUAAGCCUAAGCUUGAGCCAUUUGCUGAUUAUCAGAAGUUUGCUGUUGUUGUAUUCCCAAAGCCGGAAGAGCUCAAGAUACGGUAUGAUAAAAGAUUUACAGAAAUGGGGAAAGAAGUGCCACCUGAUGCUGUGAAUAAAAUGAUAGCUAAUUAUGUUCUGCCUAAAAGCAACGAUAUGCCUUGUUCUGAUGAAUUUUUUUAUCAGGUAUUUAGCAACCUAGUCUACUUCAUGUUCUGCCUAAAUAUUUAUUUGUAUUUUGAGGUUAUGUUUGUAGAACUGAACCAAGGCAAGUCUCAGAAAUAUUUGGAUCUGAUGAACCAGAAUCUUGCAUAUAUAUCUUGUAAUAACUCAUCAACAUGAUCCCCUGGAGGUUCUUUUGAGUCUUUUGCUGGGUCCACUUUUCAAAAUAAAAGAAGUUUGACAGUGCGCUUUGGUUCUGGCAGUGGUCUUCAUCUGCCAGGCUCUUAUUCUCCUAUCACUCUUCCCAUCUAUGGGACCCCUGGUCAAGUUAGUCAGGUUAAUGCAAAUGAUCAUGUGACUGAACUUAAUGGGAGUAUGAAUUCAUUUUCUGGAGUAUAUCCAGGAAGUCAAAUUCCGCAUGUUGCCAGAGCGCCCACUUCUUGUGAACCCUAUUCCAAUAAAGAAUCAAGUUGUUUUGCUAGAGAUAUUGCCGGUUAUAAUCAAACUUACGGUGCCAUUCUGACUGGUGAUAUCCGGAAUUACAACAACUCUGUUGUGGGUGGCCCAUACAGACCAAACAUUGUAGAGAACAAUAUGGUUUCUCGGGAUGCUUUUCCUGAUGCCUACAUGAGUGGCAUGAAUGAACCCUCUCCAAUAGCAAGUGCAAGGGCAAUAUCUUUUGAUUUUAGCACUUGUAAGGAACCUUAUCCUGGUGCCUACAGGAGUGGCAUGAAUGAAUCCUCUCCAGUAGCAAGGGCUAGGGCAAUGUCUUUCGAUUAUCCUAGAGAGGUUUCCAGCCAUUUCUACAGAGGUAUCCAGCCUGACCUGCAUACUCGCUCCCCAACAACAUUUGAUUCACUUUCCCCAUAUGGGACACCGACUACAAGACCUACAUAUGGAAGUUCACCUAUUAACACGCCGUAUUCAGGAAGAUAUGCCUCUCAGCGUCCAAGAUAAUUCUAACUGCUAUGUAGAUUCUGCUUGCCCACCUGAUUGUCUAUAUAUUAAUGUUGUGAAGGGGAACAAGGCUUCACUUCCACUGACUGCAAAAAUUUGUAUAUAUGUAUAUCUGUUCAUGUAUCUGAUAUUUAUUAUUUUAUUCAAUUAUGUACGUGAAUGGAAAGUAAUAAAGUGAGGUUUGUUUUAUAGGCAAAAAUAUAAACGAAAAAAUAGUUUAG